rnacentral:rRNA from 1 species
CAGUCGAGCGAGCUUGCCUAGAUGAGUUUGGUGCUUGCACCAGAUGAAACUAGAUACAAGCGAGCGGCGGACGGGUGAGUAACACGUGGGUAACCUGCCCAAGAGACUGGGAUAACACCUGGAAACAGAUGCUAAUACCGGAUAACAACACUAGACGCAUGUCUAGAGUUUAAAAGAUGGUUCUGCUAUCACUCUUGGAUGGACCUGCGGUGCAUUAGCUAGUUGGUAAGGUAACGGCUUACCAAGGCAAUGAUGCAUAGCCGAGUUGAGAGACUGAUCGGCCACAUUGGGACUGAGACACGGCCCAAACUCCUACGGGAGGCAGCAGUAGGGAAUCUUCCACAAUGGACGCAAGUCUGAUGGAGCAACGCCGCGUGAGUGAAGAAGGGUUUCGGCUCGUAAAGCUCUGUUGGUAGUGAAGAAAGAUAGAGGUAGUAACUGGCCUUUAUUUGACGGUAAUUACUUAGAAAGUCACGGCUAACUACGUGCCAGCAGCCGCGGUAAUACGUAGGUGGCAAGCGUUGUCCGGAUUUAUUGGGCGUAAAGCGAGUGCAGGCGGUUCAAUAAGUCUGAUGUGAAAGCCUUCGGCUCAACCGGAGAAUUGCAUCAGAAACUGUUGAACUUGAGUGCAGAAGAGGAGAGUGGAACUCCAUGUGUAGCGGUGGAAUGCGUAGAUAUAUGGAAGAACACCAGUGGCGAAGGCGGCUCUCUGGUCUGCAACUGACGCUGAGGCUCGAAAGCAUGGGUAGCGAACAGGAUUAGAUACCCUGGUAGUCCAUGCCGUAAACGAUGAGUGCUAAGUGUUGGGAGGUUUCCGCCUCUCAGUGCUGCAGCUAACGCAUUAAGCACUCCGCCU